CCUACGGGUGGCAGCAGUAGGGAAUAUUGCUCAAUGGGGGAAACCCUGAAGCAGCAACGCCGCGUGGAGGAUGAAGGUUUUAGGAUUGUAAACUCCUUUUGUUAGAGAAGAAUAUGACGGUAUCUAACGAAUAAGCACCGGCAAACUCCGUGCCAGCGGCCGCGGUAAUACGGAGGGUGCAAGCGUUACUCGGAAUCACUGGGCGUAAGGAGUGGGUAGGCGGGGGAUAAGUCAGAUGGGAAAUCCUGUAGCUUAACUACAGAACUGCAUUUGAAACUGUUUCUCUGGAGUGUGGGAGAGGUAGGUGGAAUUCUUGGUGUAGGGGUGAAAUGCGUAGAGAUCAAGAAGAAUACUGAUUGCGAAGGCGGCCUGCUGGAACAUUACUGACGCUGAUGCACGAAAGCGUGGGGAGCAAACAGGAUUAGAUACCCUUGUAGUC
rnacentral:rRNA from 1 species